rnacentral:rRNA from 2 species
AAAACUUUCAACAACGGAUCUCUUGGCUCUGGCAUCGAUGAAGAACGCAGCGAAAUGCGAUAAGUAAUGUGAAUUGCAGAAUUCAGUGAAUCAUCGAAUCUUUGAACGCACAUUGCGCCCCUCGGUAUUCCGGGGGGCAUGCCUGUUCGAGCGUCAUU